rnacentral:hammerhead_ribozyme from 1 species
ACUUACUGACGAGUCUUAAAUAGGACGAAACACGCGUCCUGCAU